CAGAGUAGAUAAAGAGCGUAAAGUGUUAAGUAAUGGGUUGUUGUACUUAAACGAAAGUAUAAACUGCGAUUCUUUAUUGCAACCGC
rnacentral:ncRNA from 1 species